UACGUAGGUGGCGAGCGUUGUCCGGAUUUACUGGGCGUAAAGAGCGCGCAGGCGGUCGUUCAAGUCGCGUGUGAAAGCCCCCGGCUCAACCCUGGGAUGCCGGUGGAUACUGUCGAGCUCGAGUCCGGAAGAGGCGAGUGGAAUUCCUGGUGUAGCGGUGAAAUGCGCAGAUAUCAGGAGGAACACCAAUGGCGAAGGCAGCUCGCUGGGACGUGACUGACGCUGAGACGCGAAAGCGUGGGGAGCAAACAGG
rnacentral:rRNA from 1 species